rnacentral:rRNA from 1 species
GCCUAACAGCUAGCCCACCCAAGCAAUUUCAACAAACCCCUAUUAAUAACCCCUAAGUACCCCAGUAUUUAAAUUAAACAAACCAUUUUCCCCCCUUAGUACAGGCGAUAGAAAGGGGCCUACGGCGCGAUAGAGAAAGUACCGCAAGGGAAUGCUGAAAAAGAAGUGAAAUAACCCAGUAAAGCCUAGAAAAGCAGAGAUUCAACCUCGUACCUUUUGCAUCAUGAUUUAGCAAGUGUACCCCAAGCAAAGAGAACUUUAGUUUGGUGUCCCGAAACUACGUGAGCUACUCCAAGACAGCCUAUUAAUAGGGCACACCCGUCUCUGUGGCAAAAGAGUGGGGAGAGCUUUGAGUAGAGGUGACAAACCUACCGAACCUAGUUAUAGCUGGUUGUCCAAGAAAUGAAUAGAAGUUCAGCCUCUUGGCUUCUCUUUUCACCCUAGUUUAACCUCUAUCGAUGCAUUAAAGAAACCAAGGGAGUUAGUCAAAGGGGGUACAGCCCCUUUGAAUCAAGACACAACUUUACCAGGAGGGU